CUGACGAGUGGCGGACGGGUGAGUAAUGCUUGGGAAUCUGGCUUAUGGAGGGGGAUAACGACGGGAAACUGUCGCUAAUACCGCGUAUUAUCGGAAGAUGAAAGUGCGGGACUGAGAGGCCGCAUGCCAUAGGAUGAGCCCAAGUGGGAUUAGGUAGUUGGUGGGGUAAAGGCCUACCAAGCCUGCGAUCUCUAGCUGGUCUGAGAGGAUGGCCAGCCACACUGGAACUGAGACACGGUCCAGACUCCUACGGGAGGCAGCAGUGGGGAAUAUUGCGCAAUGGGGGGAACCCUGACGCAGCCAUGCCGCGUGAAUGAAGAAGGCCUUAGGGUUGUAAAGUUCUUUCGGUAUUGAGGAAGGUUGAUGUGUUAAUAGCACAUCAAAUUGACGUUAAAUACAGAAGAAGCACCGGCUAACUCCGUGCCAGCAGCCGCGGUAAUACGGAGGGUGCGAGCGUUAAUCGGAAUAACUGGGCGUAAAGGGCACGCAGGCGGUUAUUUAAGUGAGGUGUGAAAGCCCCGGGCUUAACCUGGGAAUUGCAUUUCAGACUGGGUAACUAGAGUACUUUAGGGAGGGGUAGAAUUCCACGUGUAGCGGU
rnacentral:rRNA from 1 species